rnacentral:rRNA from 1 species
AUUGAACGCUGGCGGAAUGCUUUACACAUGCAAGUCGAACGGCAGCACGGACUUCGGUCUGGUGGCGAGUGGCGAACGGGUGAGUAACAUAUCGGAACGUAUCCCAAUAAUGGGGGGAUAACUAAUCGAAAGGUUGGCUAAUACCGCAUACGCCCUGAGGGGGAAAGCUAGGGAUCUUCGGACCUGGCGUUAAUGGAGCGGCCGAUAUCUGAUUAGCUAGUUGGUGGGGUAAAGGCCCACAAGGCGACGAUCAGUAGCUGGUCUGAGAGGAUGAUCCGCCACACUGGAACUGAGACACGGUCCAGACUCCUACGGGAGGCAGCAGUGGGGAAUUUUGGGACAAUGGGGGCAACCCUGAUCCAGCCAUGCCGCGUGAGUGAAGAAGGCCUUCGGGUUGUAAAGCUCUUUCAGCCGGGAAGAAACGCACUCUCUAACAUAAGGGUGUGGAUGACGGUACCGGAAGAAGAAGCACCGGCUAACUACGUGCCAGCACGCCGCGGUAAUCUCGUU